UACGGAAAAUAUAGUCCCUUGUAUUAACGACAUAAUUAUCUUUCUCUUCAAUAUUAAUAACAAUAUAUUUUACUUAUUAUGCUAUAUUAAAUUAACAAUAGGUAAAAUUGAUUUUCAGGUGAAGCAUCUGGUCAAAGUUCGGAAAAAUGAGGACGAUUUUUUUUUGUACAAAACUCUAGUUGCGAUGCGCGAUGGUUUCUUCCAUAUUUGGAUUAUGCAUUCUGAUUGGUGACUCACGUAAUUCGCUGGAAUACUUACCUCCCUUGUAACAAAAUGUAUUUUUGUAUGUGAAAUAUCGCAAAUCUAAAGAUAUUACGUCAAAGAUGCCGCUCUCAUCGUUUACGUGUUGCUAGGCAACGUUUUCAAAAUAAACAUUAAAUUAUGUUUAAGUGAAUGUAAAUAAAUUAAAUAAUAAAAAUACAUUAAUUAUA